CUGUGGUCUUGAGGUUUGAAAUUCCCGGAGCAGCCAGUGUGGGGACAGUUCUUAAAGACUUUCUCAAGGGCCUGGAGAUAUCUGGCUGUCUGUCUAGAUAUCAGGACGAGCAACAAGCAGACUGACCAGGAGCUCCGUGUGCCCUGCAGGAUGUGUCAGUGGGCAGGCUUGCUCCAAUUGAAUGCUGUGGGGCCUACAGAGGUGGCGGAGGGCCCCAGUGUCCUGUUAAUGGGGCCUCAGUGAAGAGAGGUGAUAAACACAUACGGUCAGUGCAUGAUCCUGAACUGGAAAUCAGAAUGAGAAU